ACUCCUGCGGGAGGCAGCAGUGGGGAAUUUUGGACAAUGGGCGAAAGCCUGAUCCAGCAAUGCCGCGUGUGUGAAGAAGGCCUUCGGGUUGUAAAGCACUUUUGUCCGGAAAGAAAUCCUUGGUUCUAAUACAGUCGGGGGAUGACGGUACCGGAAGAAUAAGCACCGGCUAACUACGUGCCAGCAGCCGCGGUAAUACGUAGGGUGCGAGCGUUAAUCGGAAUUACUGGGCGUAAAGCGUGCGCAGGCGGUUUGCUAAGACCGAUGUGAAAUCCCCGGGCUCAACCUGGGAACUGCAUUGGUGACUGGCAGGCUAGAGUAUGGCAGAGGGGGGUAGAAUUCCACGUGUAGCAGUGAAAUGCGUAGAGAUGUGGAGGAAUACCGAUGGCGAAGGCAGCCCCCUGGGCCAAUACUGACGCUCAUGCACGAAAGCGUGGGGAGCAAACAGGAUUAGAUACCCCGGUAGUCCCAUGA
rnacentral:rRNA from 1 species